rnacentral:rRNA from 1 species
CCUGGCGGCCAUAGCGCCGUGGAACCACCUGAACCCAUGCCGAACUCAGAAGUGAAACGCGGUAGCGCCGAUGGUAGUGUGGCA